rnacentral:rRNA from 1 species
UACAGGGGGGGCAAGCGUUGUUCGGAAUUACUGGGCGUAAAGGUUUCGUAGGUGGCUUACUAAGUCAGACGUGAAAUCCCUCAGCUUAACUGGGGAACUGCGUCUGAUACUGGAAAGCUUGAGUGCAGGAGAGGAACGCGGAAUUCCAGGUGUAGCGGUGAAAUGCGUAGAUAUCUGGAGGAAUACCGGUGGCGAAGGCGGCAUCCUGGACCAUUACUGACGCUGAGGCGCGAAAGCUAGGGGAGCAAACGGG